rnacentral:rRNA from 1 species
CCUACGGGUGGCAGCAGUGAGGAAUAUUGGUCAAUGGACGAGAGUCUGAACCAGCCAAGUAGCGUGAAGGAUGACUGCCCUAUGGGUUGUAAACUUCUUUUAUAUGGGAAUAAAACGUUCCACGUGUGGGAUUUUGUAUGUACCAUAUGAAUAAGGAUCGGCUAACUCCGUGCCAGCAGCCGCGGUAAUACGGAGGAUCCGAGCGUUAUCCGGAUUUAUUGGGGUUAAAGGGAGCGUAGGGGGAUUGUUAAGUCAGUUGUGAAAGUUUGCGGCUCAACCGUAAAAUUGCAGUUGAAACUGGCAGUCUUGAGUACAGUAGAGGUGGGCGGAAUUCGUGGUGUAGCGGUGAAAUGCUUAGAUAUCACGAAGAACUCCGAUUGCGAAGGCAGUUCACUGGACUGCAACUGACACUGAGGCUCGAAAGUGUGGGUAUCAAACAGGAUUAGAUACCCUUGUAGUC